CAGGCUCAGAUUGAACGCUGGCGGCAGGCCUAACACAUGCAAGUCGAGCGGAUGAGUGGAGCUUGCUCCAUGAUUCAGCGGCGGACGGGUGAGUAAUGCCUAGGAAUCUGCCUGGUAGUGGGGGACAACGUUUCGAAAGGAACGCUAAUACCGCAUACGUCCUACGGGAGAAAGUGGGGGAUCUUCGGACCUCGCGCUAUCAGAUGAGCCUAGGUCGGAUUAGCUAGUUGGUGAGGUAAAGGCUCACCAAGGCGACGAUCCGUAACUGGUCUGAGAGGAUGAUCAGUCACACUGGAACUGAGACACGGUCCAGACUCCUACGGGAGGCAGCAGUGGGGAAUAUUGGACAAUGGGCGAAAGCCUGAUCCAGCCAUGCCGCGUGUGUGAAGAAGGUCUUCGGAUUGUAAAGCACUUUAAGUUGGGAGGAAGGGCAGUAAGUUAAUACCUUGCUGUUUUGACGUUACCAACAGAAUAAGCACCGGCUAACUUCGUGCCAGCAGCCGCGGUAAUACGAAGGGUGCAAGCGUUAAUCGGAAUUACUGGGCGUAAAGCGCGCGUAGGUGGUUCGUUAAGUUGGAUGUGAAAGCCCCGGGCUCAACCUGGGAACUGCAUCCAAAACUGGCGAGCUAGAGUAUGGCAGAGGGUGGUGGAAUUUCCUGUGUAGCGGUGAAAUGCGUAGAUAUAGGAAGGAACACCAGUGGCGAAGGCGACCACCUGGGCUAAUACUGACACUGAGGGCGAAAAACGCCC
rnacentral:rRNA from 1 species